AAAGGAUGUGGCGUUGCCCAGACAACUAGGAUGUUGGCUUAGAAGCAGCCAUCAUUUAAAGAGUGCGUAAUAGCUCACUAGUCGAGUGACACUGCGCCGAAAAUGUACCGGGGCUAAACAUAUUACCGAAGCUGUGGAUUGUCCUUUGGACAAUGGUAGGAGAGCGUUCUAAGGGCGUUGAAGCAUGAUCGUAAGGACAUGUGGAGCGCUUAGAAGUGAGAAUGCCGGUGUGAGUAGCGAAAGACGGGUGAGAAUCCCGUCCACCGAUUGACUAAGGUUUCCAGAGGAAGGCUCGUCCGCUCUGGGUUAGUCGGGUCCUAAGCUGAGGCCGACAGGCGUAGGCGAUGGAUAACAGGUUGAUAUUCCUGUACCACCUAUAAUCGUUUUAAUCGAUGGGGGGACGCAGUAGGAUAGGCGGAUGGGGAGAAGACAUUGAGUCUUCGAGUCGUUGAUUUCACACUGCCGAGAAAAGCCUCUAGAUAGAAAAUAGGUGCCCGUACCGCAAACCGACACAGGUAGUCAAGAUGAGAAUUCUAAGGUGAGCGAGCGAACUCUCGUUAAGGAACUCGGCAAAAUGACCCCGUAACUUCGGGAGAAGGGGUGCUCUUUAGGGUUAACGCCCAGAAGAGCCGCAGUGAAUAGGCCCAAGCGACUGUUUAUCAAAAACACAGGUCUCUGCUAAACCGUAAGGUGAUGUAUAGGGGCUGACGCCUGCCCGGUGCUGGAAGGUUAAGAGGAGUGGUUAGCUUCUGCGAAGCUACGAAUCGAAGCCCCAGUAAACGGCGGCCGUAACUAUAACGGUCCUAAGGUAGCGAAAUUCCUUGUCGGGUAAGUUCCGACCCGCACGAAAGGCGUAACGAUUUGGGCACUGUCUCGCGCUAGCUUACGUGGAGGCGCUGGUGGGAUACUACCCUAGCUGUGUUGGCUUUCUAACCCGCACCACUUAUCGUGGUGGGAGACAGUGUCAGGCGGGCAGUUUGACUGGGGCGGUCGCCUCCUAAAAGGUAACGGAGGCGCUCAAAGGUUCCCUCAGAAUGGUUGGAAAUCAUUCAUAGAGUGUAAAGGCAUAAGGGAGCUUGACUGCGAGACCUACAAGUCGAGCAGGGUCGAAAGACGGACUUAGUGAUCCGGUGGUUCCGCAUGGAAGGGCCAUCGCUCAACGGAUAAAAGCUACCCCGGGGAUAACAGGCUUAUCUCCCCCAAG
rnacentral:rRNA from 1 species